rnacentral:misc_RNA from 1 species
UCUCUCUCUCUCUCUCUCUCGGUAUUCGAUUACUUUGGAAAUGCUUUAGAAUUCGAGAGAAGAAUGGUGGGUUGUAUUAUGAUUAUUGUGGGUUUGAAUUAACCAUUUGAAUGUUGGGAAAAGAUGGAUGAUUAGAUUUCAAGAAAUCAUUGAGAGUUCAUUGUAAGGGUGUGCUUUUGAAUCUGCUAUAUGGUGGAUUGAUG